rnacentral:SRP_RNA from 1 species
GUAGGGACUAGACUGGGGGGCUAAGGGUCCCUUGUCACCACAAACCCCUUUAUAGGUGGAGUCGAAGCUCAAGGAAGGUGUGUAGCGGUUAUUUGGCCUACAUUUCCAACUGAGAAGCUUUGUCCCAUAGGAUCGUUAGUGUAGUGAACCGGGUCAGGGUCGGAAGACAGCAGCCCUAAGCUGUAUUAAAUAGGCGGCAUCAACAGUGCCAUCUAGAUCAAUGAUGCUUAUGGGGUCGCAGAGCAGAGAAGGAAGUGUAGAUAAACCAUCUAGUUGCUAUAUAUCGACUGCGAGUUCGUCCCUAC